UACGUAGGGUGCAAGCGUUAAUCGGAAUUACUGGGCGUAAAGCGUGCGCAGGCGGUUCUAUAAGACAGAUGUGAAAUCCCCGGGCUCAACCUGGGAACUGCAUUUGUGACUGUAGAGCUGGAGUACGGCAGAGGGGGAUGGAAUUCCGCGUGUAGCAGUGAAAUGCGUAGAUAUGCGGAGGAAUACCGAUGGCGAAGGCAGCCCCCUGGGAUAACACUGACGCUCAUGCACGAAAGCGUGGGGAGCAAACAGG
rnacentral:rRNA from 1 species